rnacentral:misc_RNA from 1 species
AAUUUAGAAGAGCUCCUCAAAAUGUCAAGUCGUGUGAUAUCAAGGAUUAUUAAUGACAUUUUGCUUCAUAAGUGUGACUGUGGAAGGACUAUUGGAUUAAGGAAAGGAUACUUGGUAAAAUAUCUGAAAGAAGUGAAUAAUGGAUUGAAAAUACCUUACAGACAUUAUGCAACUGGAAUUAAUCUGAAAAAUGCACCAAGAACGAAACCUUUGGUUAGGUCAAGAACUAUGGUUUUAAAUACCUUUUACACUACACUACCUAUCUUGAUAGUGGCCUUUGUUUGUGUUGAAUAUAAAAGAAGACUGAAGUCACAAGCUGUUCAAGACAGAGUUAGGUUACAAAAAGAAGAGAAACCUAUUCCUCUGCCUACCUUGAUGUCAAAAUUAAAAAAUGAAGCAGACUUAAAAGAUUUGGAAUUCACCAGAGUGGAGCUGGAGGGAGAGUUUGACCAUGACCGUGAAGUAGUGAUUGGGUACAGGGCUAACCAACAGCCCCACCUAACACCUAAAGGAAGUAGAUGGCAGAAAGGAGUCUACAUUGUCACACCAUUUAAACUGAAGGAAACUGGGGAUACAGUCCUGGUGAACCGUGGGUGGGUGCCCUUACAACUGGCGGACCCCAAGGCGAGAGUGGGAGGUCAGGUUACAGGGACUCUGAAAAUCUUGGGUCUGCUGAGAAGCACAGAAAAGAAAAAUCCUUUUGAUUUCCGACCAAGUCAAGAUUCUUUUAAUGAAAAGUUUUUCAGCUAUUUGAAUGUAGACGAUAUUGCAAAAUAUCUUGGAACAAAGUGUGUUUUUGUUGAUGCAGUAUGUUGAUUCUUGGAUCAAUAGCACUAUUUUGGUUCACAAAAAUACACCCCCAGAGAGCAGCUGCAAGAUAUGCUAAAAUGUAUUUUUCCAGUAAACAUCAAGCCAAUAAAAUGUGACCAAAAAUGU